rnacentral:rRNA from 1 species
UCAAGAAACUUCCACAAUGGGCGAAAGCCUGAUGGAGCGACGUCGCGUGAUGGACGAAGUGCUUCGGCACGUAAACAUCUUUUAUGUGGGAUGAAAUUAUUGACAGUACCACAUGAAUAAGGGGCUCCUAACUCUGUGCCAGCAGGAGCGGUAAUACAGAGGCCCCAAGCGUUAUCCGGAAUCACUGGGCGUAAAGGGUGUCGAGGCGGUUGUAUUAGUCGUUCGUAAAAUCUACGAGCUUAACUUGUAGGCGGCGAACGAAACGGUACGACUUGAGGUUUGGAGAGGUGCGUGGAACUCACGGUGUAGGGGUGAAAUCCGUUGAUAUCGUGGGGAACACCAAAGGCGAAGGCAGCGCACUGGCCAAAAUCUGACGCUCACACACGAAAGCUAGGGUAGCGAAGAGGAUUAGAUACCCGCGUAGUCCCUGAG